rnacentral:rRNA from 1 species
CAGCAGCCGCGGUAAUACGGAGGGUGCAAGCGUUAAUCGGAAUUACUGGGCGUAAAGCGCACGCAGGCGGUCUGACAAGUCAGAUGUGAAAUCCCCGGGCUUAACCUGGGAACUGCAUUUGAAACUGUCAGGCUGGAGUCUUGUAGAGGGGGGUAGAAUUCCAGGUGUAGCGGUGAAAUGCGUAGAGAUCUGGAGGAAUACCGGUGGCGAAGGCGGCCCCCUGGACAAAGACUGACGCUCAGGUGCGAAAGCGUGGGGAGCAAACAGGAUUAGAUACCCCGGUAGUCCCUGUCUCUUAUAA